rnacentral:rRNA from 1 species
AUUGAACGCUAGCGGCAUGCUUUACACAUGCAAGUCGAACGAGUGGCGGACGGGUGGGUACUGUCUCGAAACGUGCCCAAUAGAGGGGGAUAACUACUCGAACGGGUGGCUAAUACCGCAUACCCUUGGCUGGGCCGCUAUGGGAUUAGCUAGUUGGUGGGGUAAUGGCUCACCAAGGCAACGAUCCGUAGCUGGGUUGAGAGGAAGACCAGCAACACUGGGACUGAGAGACGGCCCAGACUCCUACGGGAGGCAGCAGGGGGGAAGUUUGGACAAUGGGGGAAAGCCUGAUGCAGCCAUGCCGCGUGUAUGAGAAGGCCUUCGGGUUGUAAAGUACUUUUGGCAGAGAAGCGGUAUCUGCAGAAUAAGCACCGGCUAACUACGGGCCAGCAGCCGCGGUAAUAC